rnacentral:rRNA from 1 species
GACGUAGGGCGCGAGCGUUGUCCGGAUUUAUUGGGCGUAAAGAGCUCGUAGGCGGCUUGUCGCGUCGUCCGUGAAAACCUGCGGCUCAACUGCAGGCUGGCGGUCGAUACGGGCGGACUUGAGUACUGCAGGGGAGACUGGAAUUCCUGGUGUAGCGGUGAAAUGCGCAGAUAUCAGGAGGAACACCGGUGGCGAAGGCGGGUCUCUGGGCAGUAACUGACGCUGAGGAGCGAAAGCGUGGGGAGCGAACAGG